GUGUCUGUUCACCUGGAAUUAAGUUAAUUUCGCGGGACGACGUGGAACAAGAGAAGAAAGAAAAAAGUCUGUUUUCCAGCCACCAUGCUGCAACUAUCAACAACCUGCAUCUUACUGUCACUAUUUAUGCUGACUGCAGGUAAGUGACCACAAUAUACAGCCAUCCUUAUAUAGAGUAACCUGUCUAUACAGCCAUCCUUAUAUAGAGUAACCUGUCUAUACAGCCAGCCUUAUAUAGAGUAACCUGUAUAUACACCAUCCUUAUAUAGAGUAACCUGUCUAUACAGCCAGCCUUAUAUAGAGUAACCUGUAUAUACAGCCAGCCUUAUAUAGAGUAACUUGUAUAUACAGCCAUCCUUAUAUAGAGUAACCUGUAUAUACACCAUCCUUAUAUAGAGUAACCUGUAUAUACAGCCAUCCUUAUAUAGAGUAACCUGCCUAUACAGCCAUCCUUAUAUAUAGUAACCUGUAUAUACAGCCAUCCUUAUAGAGAGUAACCUGUAUGUGACGGGAGUAAUCUGUAUCACCGUCAAGCAUUCCCUUUUUCCCAUAAAAGAAAAUCACCCAGUAAUCAACAGGGUAAAAUAUCGCUGGUAUCACCAAAUAAUCCAAACAUGAGCCAAAGCUUAAUGCUGGAACAAGACUGAUUUACUGGAAGCAACAGGCAUUCAAUUUAUACAGUACAUAACGUCUCCUUUGGGUUUUAGCUCUUAUCAAACUCAAUUAUCUAGUGGCCAGAAAAGUUAAAAUUUUUUACAAUUAUUGAAAAUAUACUUUCUACAUAACGUAUCAACAUUAACAUAUCCCUGGGUAGCUGAGGGUGAUGUGAGCAACAUACCCAACAAUCAGACAAAUCCAUCCAGUAGAUCAAAAGUUAGACGGAAGUCCUUUAUGACAAUUUCACCCAGAAAAAUGUCUAAGUCCCAUUCGAACAGUGUGUUCGAAUUGUCGAACGCACUUCGAUUCCAGCCGAAGUUCCUGAGAAGGUAAGAGUCAGCGGUGUUCGUGCAAAUGCAUAGCUGAUUUUAGUUCCAUAAAUUCAGUGGCACGCACCGCUGACCGCGUUCAACUAAAUUAAAAUGGCCGCCGCCAUGUGUUCGAUAUUAUAAUGGCGGCCACUUCGACGACUUCGACUGCAUUCAAAGUGCCAAUUUAAAAGUGUAAAUUCUUUUUCUGGGAGUUAAAACGAACCAUCCAAAAUUUGUUCAACAGCAGGGAGAGGAUAUAACCGAAGAAACACAGGUGAGUAUAGGAGAAUCCUUUACACUGUAUAUACACCAUCCUUAUAUAGAGUAACCUGUCUAUACAGCCAUCCUUAUAUAGAGUAACCUGUAUAUACAGCCAUCCUUAUAUAGAGUAACCUGUAUAUACAGCCAGCCUUAUAUAGAGUAACCUGUAUAUACACCAUCCUUAUAUAGAGUAACCUGUCUAUAUAGCCAUCCUUAUAUAGAGUAACCUGUAUAUACAGCCAGCCUUAUAUAGAGUAACCUGUAUAUACACCAUCCUUAUAUAGAGAAACCUGUAUAUACAGCAUCUUUAUAUAGAGUAACCUGUCUAUACAGCCAUCCUUAUAUAGAGUAACCUGUAUGUACAGCCAGCCUUAUAUAGAGUAACCUGUUUAUAGUCACCCUUAUAGAGUAACCUGUAUAUACAGCAUCAUUAUACAGAAUAACCUUGUGAUGAAAUGCCUUUUGUCACUGGAUUGUUAGGUGACAAGCUGCCCUUUGCCUCCGGCUGUUGGAGGAGCCUGAUUGCCAACCUCCUUCCUCAUGACUAUGGCCCUGGGGCGUAGUGCCAUUUAAAAAGAGUAUUUGGGUCUUGGCUUCUAAAGACUGUUUCUGCCCAUUUGCAUCCAUGGGAAGGUGUGUCUCUUCCCCUCCCCCGUUUCCUGUCUAUUGUUCUCCAGCAGGGUGUUGUCUUGGGUCCAGAGUGGGUGGAGACGGCGAGAGCCCAACCAAGCUGCGGUUCGUGGGGUCUGCAGUGCUUAUGGUGUCGGGCAGAGUGCUUGGAGUCCUUGGAAAGCACUAGGAGCAUCCGUCAGCGGAAGGGGUGCCAGCGGUUCCGUUACAGUGGUGGCAGCAGUGGGAUGGCGCCCUAGUGCGAGGAGAAGCAGCGCAGAGGCACCGGUAACGUUUGGAAUUACAAUUUGAGGGCAACCCUAGUAUUCGUACAGCGCCCCUGUUCACAGCAAACAUGACCUAUCGCUUUGAGGGCGACGCUUACAGGGAGGAGGUCAAGAGGCGGUUAACCAGAUAUGGCCUGAAUCUUUCGACAGAGACGAUUCUGGCAACCCUGCGCAAGUUGUAUGCGGAGAAUCGAGCGGCAUGGGAAUGCGAGUGCCAAUUGCGGAGAUUGGGGCUGUGGCCAAUUGGUCUCUCUCCCCAGCGGCAGCCAGCAUCACAGGGAGAGGAGAUUGUCGGUCCCUCAGUCCUGCAGCAACCAUCAUCACUGAGAGUCGAGACAGUCGGUCUGACUCCCCAGCGGCAGUGUGUUGUCAAGGGAGAAGAGACAACCGGUCUCUCUCUCCAGCGGCAGCCAGCAUCCAAGGGAGAAGAGACUGUUGGUCCCUCGUCCCUGCAGCAACCAACAUCCCAGGUAGAGGAGAUUUUCGGUCCCUCGUCACUGCAGCAACCAUCAUCACUGGGAGUGGAAAUGGUUGCUCCCACCACCCAGCACCAGGCAGCGUUACCGGGAGUCGAGACAGUCGGUCUGACUCCCCAGCGGCAGUGUGUUGUACCGGGAGAAGAGACAACCGGUCUCUCUCCCCAGCGUCAGUGUACCCUACCAAGAGGAGACCCCACUCCCCCAGACGGUGCAGAUGGGACUGUAGUCUCUGCAUCCAACCUACAGGUAUGUUGGACGGCCUAUCCAGAUCCCCAACUACCCUCACAAGAAUACCGGGUGGAGGAGGUAAGCGAUGUCUCCCCUCCCCAACCAAGUUGCAUCCAGGCUACCCCACCAGAAGCGCUGGCAUCGGGGCAGAGUGCAGUUGGCCUCUGCCCCCCAAAUCCCCACAGCGUGUUGCCCAGUAGCACCAGAGGAACCACCAGGUGCAGUAAAUGUGUGUUGUGGGUGGGCUACUCAUGUACUUGUUCACUGUGGGUGGGUUUAUCGACUAACUCAGGCACUGACCGACAGGUCAGGUACCUGGUUAGUCUCCCCCCCCAAAGGGGAGAUGUGUGAUGAAAUGCCUUUUGUCACUGGAUUGUUAGGUGACAAGCUGCCCUUUGCCCCCGGCUGUUGGAGGAGCCUGAUUGCUAGCCUCCUUCCUCAUGACUAUGGCCCUGGGGCGUAGUGCCAUUUAAAAAGACUAUUCGGGUCUUAUUGGCUUCUAAAGACUGUUUCUGCCCAUUUGAAUCCAUGGGAAGGUGUGUUUCUUCCCCUCCCCCGUUUCCUGUCUAUUUGUUCUCCAGCAGGGCGUUGUCCCAGGCACACUGCCAAACCAGUUGGAACUGACUGCUUUUGUCCCUCCUUGGUUUCUCAACAGCCUUUGCUAUGCUUUACCCCAUGGAAAAUUUACUCUGUUCAUGGGAUCUGAGCUUUUUUCACCUAGAUUGGGCGCUCAGAUCCGAGCUAUCUGGGGAUAGGUUAAAUGUGGGGGUUCUGUGUAAUAUAAUAAGAAUUAUGUAUUUUUAUGUACUUUUACGUAUUUUUGCUGUUAGUGUAAAAUGUAGAUAUUUUCUGUACCUGGAGAUAAUUAAGUUUACUGCAGUGCCUUAAGCCAAUUAUCUCCAGGAUGGAGAGGAGGGAUUUCAUUGUGUAUGUGAGAGUGUUAUCAUGUUAAUUAGUGUUCCCAUUGGUUUGUGUUCCUUUUGUCCUAAUUUACCACCAGGUCCGGGGGUGUGUGUGUGUGUGUAUUGUGUAUAAGGAGUAAUAAACGCUCAUUGGAGUCAGAUCAUCUUUUACCUUCAUGAAGUUUCGGUCGGCUCAUGCUUGGGGGAUUGGAGAAACUACACUCUGGGGAUUGCUAUAAUCACUAUACUCCCCAGGGUAUAAUCACUAAGCUCUGCUAAAAGCUUGUUCCUGUUCCUGCUCUCUGGAAUUCGGAGAGGUGGACCUACUGGAAGCUGGACCCUGGUCUUGGGUCCAGAGUGGGUGGAGACGGUGAGAGCCCAACCAAGCUGCAGUGGUUCGUGGGGUCUGCAGUGGUUAUGGUGUCAGGCAGAGUGCUUGGAGUCCUCGGAAAGCACUCUGAGCAUCCAUCAGCGGAAGGUACCCGGUUGGGGUGCCAGGGGUUCUGUUACAAACCUGUAUAUAGUGACCCUUAUAUAGAGUAACCUGUAUAUACAGCAUCAUUAUACAGAAUAACCUGUAUAUACAACCAUCCCUUAUAUAGAGUAACCUGUAUAUACAGCCAUCCCUUAUAUAGAGUAACCUGUAUAUAUUGCCAGCCUUAUAUAGAGUAACCUGUAUAUACAGCAUCAUUAUACAGAGAAACCUGUAUAAACAACCAUCCCUUAUAUAGAGUAACCUGUAUAUACAGCCAAUAGAAAAGAAAUUAUUAAAUACAAUUUAAUAAAGUAUCCAGGAGUAGCAUAUGCCUUAGGGAUAAUAAUUGUGCAAUGCUUGUGAAUAGAAAUUGAAAUAAAAUGUUAAAAUAAAGUAAAUUAAACAAUAAUGUCCAAUAUUAGGUUAGAGUCCAAUUAAUAACAGUCUGUUUGAUAAAAAGCUAUAUCAUAAUAGCAAUAAAUAGACUCUAAAAGACUAUUAUUCCAUUCUGUUUGUAAGCUAAUUCAGUUCACUCCAGUUAUUGAUGAACUGGGAUCUGGAUACUGAAUUAGUUAUUUGGUAUAGUACAGUCUAACAAUAUAUAUGGUCCUUAUAAUUGAAAUAUUGUGUCUUUUACCCGAGAAUUAAACAUAACUAACAAGCUAUAUAAAGUGGCCCUUAGUUAUAAUACUUCUAAUAAUAGGAAAUAAAGUAAUAAAAUCAUAAAAUCCAAGUGCUAAUAUGAAAGGUUUUCCAAGUGUUGGUAUAUAAAAAUAUAUUUAUUGUAAGAUAAAUUUAAAAAGCAAAAGUUACACUCACAUUGUUAAAAAAUAUGUUGAAUAUGGAGCCAGAGGAUGGUGUAGGCAGCUGAUAAAUAUAAACUGUCCGAUCAUCAGAUGGAUAGGUAAAUAAUUUUCAAGCCGCGUGCGUUCCACCGAAUUCUCCCUCUGCGUUCCAGAUGUAAAUCAGCAGUAUUGCCGGAAAGCAAUGUGGUGUCGUUCUGAAUACCGUCCUUACGCGUUUCGUGAGGCUUAGCUCACUUCAUCAGAGGAUGUCUGAUAGAGGAUUCUUGUGGGUUUAAAUAGCCAGCAGAACUUCUGGCUUGUGUUAACCCCUUAUGGUUUAUGUUAAAUAUAGCACUGGAUUCAUUAAAUAGUACAAAGCAUAUACAAUAAUAGACUUAUACAAUGUUAUAAAAUUUAAACAAGGAUAAAAUUAAUAGAUUGUAAUACAUAUUGGACCUAUAUAUACUACUUAUUACAAAAUUAAAGAUUGAUAAAUAACAUAAUAAUAAUAAUAAUAAUAAUAAUAAUAAUAAUAUUUCAAAGUUAAAAAUUUUUUAAAAAUUCACCUAUAAAAGUAUAUUGUCUAAAUAAAAAUAAUUACUUGGUAUGAAUUUUUAUAUUAAAUAAAACUUGUAAUAAAUGAUUAAGAAAUCUCCUUCGAAAUAAAAACUUUGUAUUUCUAGUAUUUUAAUUGUAAAAAAAAUAAAUAAAAAAAAAUAAAGGAGAGGAUACAAAAAUGUGUUUAUUUAUAAAAAAGCUCUUAAUUCAAAAUCUACAUUUAAACCAUUGGGUUCUAGCGUGUCUAACUGAAAUAUCCAUUUGGCUUCUGCUUUGUCUAGUUCUUUUUCUAGAUCCCCUCCUCCCAUGAGAUAUUUACUUUUUGAAUUGCCAUAAAACUAAGUCCGUUAGGAUUCCUUGCAUGUAUAAGAUCAAAGUGUCUCGAAAGAUUAUGUGAAUGGAGUCCAUUUUUGAUGUUCCUGAUAUGUUCUCCCAUUCGUGUUUUAAAAGCCCUUUUAGUACGUCCUAUAUACAUUUUAUCGCAGGGACAUUUUAAUAAAUAAAUUACACCAGUAGUUUUGCAAAAAUUUGAAAAAUUUCAUUUGUUUGUGGGUGAGUAAAUUCUGUAAUACUUGUAGAUUGAUUUGGGUUAUUUAUACAUGCUUGACAUUUUUUACAUUUCCAAAAGCCUGUUUUAGUUUUAAGAGUAGUGGUUUUAUUUUGCUUCGGUUUUUCCUGUUUUGUUGUGGGUGCUAGUAAUAAAGCCAGAUUGGGAGCUUUGGAAUGUAUUAUUCGGGGUUUGUUACUUAAUAUUCGUCCUAAUUGGGGAUCUCCUUUGAGAAUAUUCCAAUUUUUUUGUAGAAUAUUUCUAAUUUGAGUAUGACUAUUAUACCUUGUUAUAAAAGUAGGAGCUUCCAGAUUAGAUGAGUCUUUAUGUGGCUUAGUUGCCAAAAUUUGGUUUCUAGAUAAAAGGGAAGUCUUAGUUAAAGCUUGAUUUAAAAUUUUACUAGAAUAGCCUUUCGUUUGAAAUUGUGCUGUCAUCAUUUUAGUUUGUUCGACACAGAUAUCUGGUUCAGAACAAUUUCUUUUUAUCCUUCUAAACUGGCUAAAUGGAAUAUUGUUUAGCCAUGUUCUUUUAUGAAAGCUAUUAUGAGGAAUAAAACUAUUACAUGCUACUGAUUUUUUUUAAAAGUUUUGGUUUCCAGUUUGUUGUUCUGAAUAUAAAUUUCAAGAUCUAAGAACUCAAGUUUUUCUGUAGAUUGGUUAAAAGUAAAUUUUAAAUUAUAAGGGUUAAAAUUUAGAUAUUCCUUAAAAUUUUCCAACAUUUCAAUAUCUCCCUUCCAGAUAAAGAUACAAUCAUCUAUAUAGCGAUGCCAUGAGACCAGAUUUGCGCCAAAUGGGUUAUUUGACCAAAUGUGUUCAUCUUCCCAUUUACCCAUGAACAAAUUAGCAUAACUAGGCGCAAAUCUGGUCCCCAUGGCAGUGCCCUCAAUUUGAAGGUAAUAAUGAUUGUUAGCCCAGAAAAAAUUAUGACUAAGAAUAAAAGCUAUACAUUUUGCAAUAUACUCAAGUUGAUAAUUUUUUAGUUCUGAAAAAGUGGCAAGUGCAUAUUGAAUAGCCUCACAUCCCUGUACAUGUUCAAUAACUGUGUACAGGGAUGUGACGUCUGCUGUUACUAGAAUAUAUUGUGAAUUCCAUUCUAUACUUGAUAAGAAGUUGAUAAUAUGAGUAGUAUCCCUUAGAUAAGACCGUAAUUUAGGCACUAUCUUUUGUAAAAAUUGGUCAACAUACUCCGAUAAAUUAGAGGUCAAAGAACCUAUGCCAGAAAUUAUUGGACGGCCUGGUGGAUUUAUAAGUGUUUUAUGGAUUUUAGGUACAUGAUAGAAUAUGGCCAUUCUGGGAAAUUUGGAAUAGAGAUAAUCAUAUUCUUUUUUUUGUUAGAAUAUUUCUUUCUUUACCUUCUUCUAAUAACAUUAGUAGUUCUAAUUGGAAUUCAUUAGUUGGAUCCUUGAUUAAAAUUUGAUAUGUAUUAGUAUCUUGAAGUAAUCUUUGAUUUUCUUUUUUAUAAUCUGUAGUGUUCAAUAUCACUAAACCCCCACCUUUGUCUGCUCCCCUUAUGGUUAUCUUUUCUUCUUUGUUCGAAGGACCUUCGAACAUUAAAUCUUAAAGAUAAUACUAAAGAUAACUUAACCAAAAAAGAGAGAAAAGCCCUAAAACAAUUAAUGGAGGAAGAAAAUAUAACCAUAAGGGGAGCAGACAAAGGUGGGGGUUUAAAUCAAUACAAGAGAUAGAUAGAGAUACAUACACACUCUUCCUUGUUCUCUGUCAGUCUUCCCAGCAGUUUGAGGUAAAUACAAAACUAAACUAUAACAAAAGUGCUAAAAAUAAAUAAACAGCAGCUCUAUACAUUUGUGUGGAAAUACCCUCUUAUCCACAUCAAAAAUCUGUAAGGUAGUAUAAGUAGAGACCUACACCUUUAAGUGGAGUGCUAGAAUAUGUUGUGCACAAGUGAGCUAAACUUACCCCACGUAACUUGGUGACAAACUUGGAUUGGAAUACAUAUAAAAGCUAGAAAGUACAAUAUAGUGCAGAUGGUACAUAGGAUAAGAUAAAAUAGGUGUUGGUGAAUUUAGAACACUCACAUUUAAAGGAGCCGGUGUAACAAUACUAGCCCCGUUGUCGAGUUUUUGUGGUAGCAUCACACUUCCAAUUCGCUGUAAGGUAUAUCUCAAAGAAAGAAAAAACCAGGAGAGAAGGGAACCAAUGUGCAGUCUGUUAAAAUCAGGUUAAGAGGUGAAAUAAGUAUACUGCUCACCUUAUUCGUGCCUUGCAAUCCAAGUUCUGAGGUAGUUUAGUUAAAAAGAUCAUUUUUACCUUUUGAUGAGUAAAGCAGGAUAGUGAGAAUGUAUGUAUUUUCCGGUAGUAACCUUGUCUCAAACGCGUUUCACCUUCACUAGGAAUUGUCAAUCAUACACAGUAACAGAAUGCAAGCGGCUUUAGAAAUCUUACUGCCAGUCACAUGUUGCUCAGUUUGUUUUUCAUUGGUUGAAAGUUAUUCGCUAGUGUUAUGCAGUUCACCUGUUUUAAUCCCUUAACCCCUUCAGGACGGAGUCAAUAGUACACGUUCUGAUCAAAACAAAACCUGACAUUUGCGCUACAUGUCUGUCCAACCGUAAUUCACCUCUUUCAUAGUAAAUGCACCCACCCUUAUUAUAUAUCAUUUUAUUCAGGGGAAACAGGGCUUUCAUUUAAUAUCAAAUAUUUAGCUAUGAAACAUAAUUUAAUAUGAAAAAAAUGGGAGAAAAUAAGAAAUGUUGUUAUUUUUUUAGUUCUACAUGACAUUUUAACGGUCAGUGUCAUAAUACUGUUUGCUUUUACUGCAAUAAAAUACACAUAUUUGUAUUCAGAAAAGUCUCACGUAUAAAUCAUUACCCCCUAUGUACAGGUUUUAUGGCGUUUUGGGAAGUUACAGGGUCAAAUAUGGCACGUUACAUUUGAAAUUGAAAUUCGCCAGGUUGGUUACGUUGCCUUUGAGAGCGUAUAGUAGCCCAGGAAUGAAAUUUACACCCAUAAUGGCAUACCAUUUGCAAUAGUAGACAACCCAAGGUAUUGCAAAUGGGGUACUUCCAGUAUUUUAUAGUUAAAAAAUCAGGUUAAGAGGUGAAACGGCUUUAAAGCCCAUUAAAAUGGCAUAGAACGCCGUAACGGCAUUAAGGGGUUAAGGACUUAGACAAUUGUACAAGUUGUGAUCAAAACAAAACGUAAACACAACCUGGAAUUUGACUGUCUAUUCAACCAUAAUUCACCUCUUUCUUAUUAUGUGCACCUACAGUUAUUAUAUAUCAUUUUAUUCAGGGGAGACAAGGCUUUAACUUAUCAUCAAAUAUUUAUAUAUGAAACAUAAUCUAGUAUGAAUAAAAUAUAAAUAAAUGUGACGGCAUUGCCAGCAUGGGGAGUGCCUGUAAUGACAGGUACUCCCCCUUGUUGUGCCUAAUCAUUAAAUUCAUGAAGCACCAAUAUCCAAAAAAGUAAUAAUCAAUACCUAAUGAGGUUUAUAGCGAUAUUGGCGGGCACACAACCCAGUACGGAUAGAGUACAUUGAGUUAUAGGAAAGAGAAAUCAUACAGAGACCAAGCUGAAUAUAAGAAUUCACACUACAUUUUAUUAUCCACAAAGGGAUCUAAGCAAAGUAAGUUUUACUCUCAUUUUAAGUAAUUGCAUGCAUUUACUUCAAACAGCUUAGUAUCUAGAUAUAUCAGCUUAAGUAUUCAUCACCAUUAGAGAAGCUUGGUUGUCUCCUUGCCACACAUGACUGGGGGGAGCUCAGGCAGUCACUCGGAGAGACCCUCUCUUCUGGGAACAGCAGAAACCAGUAACACGCGUCCGCAUUACAGGUGGGUAGUUCUCCAAGGGAGCACAAGAUUCCCUUAGUCUUAUAUACCUGUCUUCAAGGACAGUCAGUAAUUCCUUAUCAGUGCAGCCCAGCAAAAGACCUUGAUACAAGCAGCUGGAUGGACCUGGCAGUUGGCCAGACUGUUCAGGACCACCAGAACUUAUGCCAAGUCUUGUGCGGUUAAUUAUCUCUUAUCUACAAGCUGUCUUUGUACUGUUCUAGAGAUGGCAACAUAAGUUUUUGAUGGCAACAGAAGUUUCUCAAACUGCUGAAAUGCUGUGUCAGCUUAGUAAACAGGUGUAGUGCUGUGUCAGCUUAUAGUGCUGUGUCAGCUUAGUAAACAGGUGUAGUGCUGUGUCAGCUCUUAAUAGCUGUGGCAUAAAGCCUUCAAGCCUGCAUCUAGUAAUAUGUGCUUAUAUGCUUACCGGUGCCAUCUUAACUAUCUAUAAAUAAUCAAUCAUACGUAAUUAAUAUGGAAUAUUAUCACACCCCUGCUGCCUGGAAAAAGAAAAAGAAAAGUUUAAAACAGUGUAAAAUUAAAUAAUAUAUACUUAGUUCGCUGAACACAAAUAUUAGUGUUUCAAAACAGUAAAAUGUAUUACAACGAUGAUAUCGUCAGUAAAAGUGACUUUUUUUGCACUUUUCACACACAAAUGGCAAUUACACAGACGAUAUAAUUGUUGUGAUACGUUUUACUGUUUUGAAACACUAAUAUUUGUGUUCAGCGAAGUCUCUCGAGUAUAACAGUACCCCCCCUGUACAGGUUUUAUGGGGUUUUCAAAGGUUACAGUGUCAAAUAUAAGGCUUGCGUUUCAGGUUUUUCACAUUAACAUGCGCCAGGUUGGUUAUGUUGCCUUUGAGACCGUACAGUAGCCCAGGAAUGAUCAUAUAUGAUCACUGGCCAAAAUUGGCGUUCAAAUACUUUUUUUUGCAUUUUUCACAAACAAACAAAUAUUAACACUAACUUUGGCCAGUGUUUGUGACCAAGUGGCUACUAAAAGACUGGACAUACCCCAUUUGAAAUACCUUGGGUUGUCUACUAUUGCAAAUGGUAUGCCAUCAUAGGGGUAAUUCUUAUUCCUGGGCUACCAUUUAUUACCUUUCUAUUUUUGGCGCUGGAAGCACCCAGGUAUUGCUGAUUAUAUUUGUAGAUUUAUGGUGAGUGCCGGAGGCAGGACUUUGUGUGUGUCAGUAUGUGUGUGUCAGUAUGUGUGUGUCAGUAUGUGUGUGUCAGUGUGUGUGUGUGUGUGUGCGUGUGUAUGUGCAUGUGCGUGUGUAUGUGCAUAUAUGUGUGUAUAUAUAUGUGUGUAUAUAUGUGUGUAUAUAUAUGUGUGUGUGUGUGUGUGUGUAUAUAUAUAUAUAUGUGUGUGUGUAUAUAUAUGUAUGUGUGUGUAUAUAUGUAUGUAUGUAUGUAUGUGUGUAUAUAUAUAUAUAUAUAUAUAUAUAUAUAUUUAUAUUGUAAGGUGCUCAUGAUAGUACAGAGUAAGAUACCAUAAUGAACGUAGGAUGGUAUAAAAGAGCAAGUCAGUUGUGGUGUGCCGGAACCAACGAUGAGGUAGACCUGAGAAAGAAGAGGGCCUACCAAGGAAAAAGAAAUGAAAAGGAAAAUAAUUUUUAUUUACAAUGUGGUGUGGUGGGAAGGUCAUUCAAUGCUGACCUCGAACGAUAGGGAGCCGGGUAAGGGAUGUCGCUUAAGUAGGCUAGGAGUGAAUAACAAGCACCUCCCACAAUUACAGGCCAAAUAGCCUUAAUACUUGUGUUAGGUGCUCAUGAUAGUACAGAGUAAAAUACCAUAAUAAAUGUAGGAUGCUAUAAAAGAGCAAGUCGGUUGUGGUGUGCUGGAACUGAAGAGAAGAGAGACCGGCACCCUACAGGAAACUCAUGCGCGUCGUCUGUGCGUUCCAAGGGUGGAAACCGGAAGUUCGGCGAGCCGGAAAUUAAGGGAUGAAAAAAGCGGCAACAGAUGGCUUUUAAAAGCGAAGAGAGAUCUAGGAAAGCCUACAGCAUCUGAGGAAGCCCCCUGAAGGGGCGAAACGUGUUUUGCUAUUAAGACUAUUCUACAGAGAUUGUAAGGUCUUUUAUUACUGUUUUAUUUCUUUUGAUUUGAAUAAAUACUAUUUUAUUAUACUCCAUCUGCGAACAUGUGAUUAGCCCUUACAAGGAUCCCGGAACACAGAGGAGGGAGUGGGACCCUAUACAUCCCACAAGGCGAAUUGCUUGAGCCCAAUCCAUAGUGGCUCCACCUUUGUGAGUUUGCACUUGUUAUAACCUUAUUGGAUUUGUGAGAUUAACAGUACAGACAAUAUUGCACUAUUAUCUACUGUUUUAUUCCCCUUAGGGCACAUUAUAGGAAUGUACCUAUGUAAAGAACUAUUUGGAAAGUGCAUGUAAGAUACUCCGCCUUAUUUUCUUUGUAUUAAUGGAUAUUAAUUUAAUCAUUUGAUAUUUCCAAUUGGUUUUUCUCCAUUAGCUUUCUAUAUUCACAAUUUCUAAUCGAAGAUAACCUUGAAAUACCAAACAACAUCACAUUAAAACAAUAUUUACGACAAGACAACAUACAUUUAUGUAUGUUAAAAAACAUCAUACAGAAAAAAAGUUGCAAAAAUUGCAGGGAUUAUAAAUUGGAGUAAAAAAUCUCCAACAUCAAAGUAUCAGAUAUGAUACCCACAGGGAGGGGGAUAUUCUGAUAUAUAUUCUACUUAUUCAAAAAGUUAUUUACAUGUCUGUCUUUUCUUUCCUUUUUUCGUUUGUUUUCUGUUCCUUCCCUUUCGCUUUUCCUUUUGUAUCCGUACUCCCUUUUUCUAUGUAUUUAACUUUAGUUCUUUCCUCGUUUUCCCAUCUCAUAUCUUCUUUCCCUUUAUCUUCACAUCGUCAUUAAUCCCUUUCUUCGACUUAUCUCUCUAUCUUUCUCUCUGUAUUCUAUCUUUAUCAACCUAGGAUUUUAACUUGUGUUUAUAAUCUUACUCAGUAAGUUUACAUAUAUGUGAUAUAUUAAUAAGAAACAUACAUUUCUAUAGUGUUGUCAAAUUUGUGUAAUUUUCAACAUCUAGCAUAUUAAUUUAAAUUCUUAAUCUCUAUAGUGCUUAAGUGCAAAAAAUAAAAGUAUGAUAUUGUGUUUCUUUGACAAAAACAGUCCUCUUAGACUUAAUUCGUUUAUCUAUCUAUCGCUUCCCACUGAUCAAUCGUCUAUCAUUAAGUGUUCUUGCAAGAACACUUAUUGUUAUCUCACAUAUAUAUUAUUCUUAUUAUAGCCAAAUUUGCCACCCUAACUCCUCCCACAGUUUUUACACUACAUAGACCAAAAUUUACCAAAACGUGCAGAUUGUUCCCGAUCGGAUUGCUAUUACUUUGUGGAACGUUUCGCCGAAUGGUUCACGGAAUAUCGUCGUUCUUGUGGCGAAAUUUGUCCCAUAGGAAUGAAUGGCAAAGCUAGAGUGGGAGCUGGCAAAAGCUGAAAAAUCAGGACAUGAUUUCUAAACUGCCACCACUCCCUUAUUUUCAGGCCCACCUACACAAAUCUUAUAUCAAAACGUUCAGCUAUCCCUGCUGCCACUAAACAUGUCAACGGCUAAGCCGUAGUCCUGAUAGUUUUCACAAUAUAAUCAUUUGUUUGCAACUAACGCCGUCCAUUGACUUUCAUUGAAACUUCACUCUGCAAAGCUCAAAUUUGAAUUGCAAUUUCUAAACUGCGACUGUGACUUCAAUUUUAAUACUUCAGAGACAUACUAUGCAUCAAAAUGUAGGUCUGGGUCUUGUGAUUCUCACAAUAUAAAGCUCUUCGCUGUAGGAUUUAUAGUUUUAAAAAUAUGACCGUUUGAAGAUGGCAACCACCAAAAUACUCUGACCUGUGUCAAGCUGCAGCAGCAAGUGAUGUCAUAGACAAGGCCUUUUGAAAACCUGCUAAUGUUUUUAUAAAUGUAUGGUUUAAUGUAACUGUGCAACAACGUUGCAAUUAAAUGUGCUAUGUAAAUGAUAACAGUUACUCCGCCCACUCCAGUUGUAGACUACAGGUGGAGGCAAGAACACUUCACACAAUUUCCCCAGAAAUUGUAACUUUUCUAGUUCUUAUUCUUAUUAUAGCAAAAUUUGCCACCCUAACUCCUCCCACAGUUUUACACUACAUAGACAAAAAUUUACCAAAACGUGCAGAUUGUUCCCGAUCGGAUUGCUAUUACUUUGUGGAACGUUUCGCCGAAUGGUUCACGGAAUAUCGUCGUUUUUGUGGCGCAAUUUGACCCAUAGGAAUGAAUGGCAAAGCUAGAGUGGGAGCUGGCAAAAGCUGAAAAAUCAGGACAUGAUUUCUAAACUGCCACCACUCCCUUAUUUUCAGGCCCACCUACACAAAUCUUAUAUCAAAACGUUCAGCUAUCCCUGCUGCCACUAAACAUGUCAACGGCUAAGCCAUAGUCCUGAUAGUUUUCACAAUAUAAUCAUUUGUUUGCAACCAACGCCGUCCAUUGACUUUCAUUGAAACUUCACUCUGCAAAGCUCAAAUUUGAAGUGCAAUUUCUAAACUGCGACUGUGCCUUCAAUUCUAAUACUUCAGAGACAUACUAUGCAUCAAAAUGUAGGUCUGGGUCUUGUGAUUCUCACAAUAUAAAGCUCUUCGCUGUAAGAUUUAUAGUUUCUAAAAUAUGACCGUUUGAAGAUGGCAACCACCAAAAUACUCUGACCUGUCAAGGCUGCAGCAGCAAGUGAUGUCAUAGACAGGGCCUUUUGAACACCUGCUAAUGUUUUUAUAAAUGUAUGGUUUAAUGUAACUGUGCAACAACGUUGCAAUUAAAUGUGCUAUAUAAAUGAUAAGUUACUCCGCCCACUCCAGUUGUAGACUACUGGUGGAGGCAAGAACACUUCACACAAUUUCCCCAGAAAUUGUAGCUUUUCUAGUUCAAUAAGUUUCAAUUAACUUUUGUUUUUUCAAGCAACCAGAGAGGUGAAAGCAAAAACGGGGGAGAAAAUAGAGCAAGGCAUAAGGAAGCAAAAGAGCUAAACAUCAAAAACAAAGACUUUCUCAUUGAGCUGUGCUAGUUUUUAUUUUAUUUUUUAUCCAGAGAAAAUGUUUCGUGUUUACAGCCUCCUUUCCUUAUAGCAGAGGGGCACCGGCAAAAGACAGCAGACUCCCGUCAGUCCUAGCAGUCUAUUUUCAAUCAGAAAAGGAAUUACGGCGGAAGCUGGCCCGCAAUUCAAUUCAGAAUAUCUCUCAGUGAGAGCUCGAGGGAUUCGCUGAUCAAAAACCUUCUGCCAGCAAAAAGUACCGACCGCUGCAACAAGCUCCGUCUGGGUUGGGGAGGUUAGGAAAACUCGCUCGGGUAUCCGCUUCAGCAUUCGGGAUUAUUCUCGGUAUAAGUCUGAGACAUAUUUCCUUGGGAGUUUCUUACAUGUGGGGCCCUAUAAGAAGCUCCCUCCUCUCAUGGCUGUCACGAAUGCUAGUGUGGUCCAACACGCAGAAACUAUGUAAACCUAUACAUAGAAAUAAGAAAGGAAAUAAAAGGACAGAACGUAAACCGGACCUUAGAAUGGCCGGACUAAUACGUUAGAGACAGAGAAUGGUCAAAGGGAAAGCCGAGGUCAAGGAAGCCAGAAAUACACAAUACUGUUUAAACAAGCCAAGUCAGGGGAACCAGAAAUCGGAAUAACCAGGAAAAGCCAAGAUCAGAAUACCAGAAUAUCAAUAUCACAGGGAAAAACGCACUCUCAGGAAACCAGGAACAGGAAACCAUGACAGGGCAAGGUACAGGGUGAAUUAGGGAUUUAAAUAUUCCUCUCUAGGCUCUGAUUGGUGAGAGGGUGACCGCUGACCCCAGAACAUGCGCAUGCGUUGACGUUGUGACAUCACUCCCACGUUAAUAUCUUUGAGGGGCAGAGCCAUUGAUGGACGCGACCGCAUGGUCGAUGCCAUCUCGGAUUUUUCGGAGCGUUGAGGAGGAGCAGUUCCUGGCUCAUCGCUGAGCAGGUAAGCUCAGCAAGUUGGUGCGGUCAUGUCGGUCUGGCACAGACGCACAUGGCCGGGAGCCGAGACAAAGACACGCACCUCUCCGCAUCCUACAUCAUGCGUACCCCCCACCUACAGUACCCUAGCUGUACCUAAAACAUUUUGUUUUUAUGGAGGCUGUGUCAGUCAGUCAGGGGAGGUGUGGCUAGGGCUGCAUAAACAGAAACAAAGCGAUUGAACUCCUAAAUGGCAGAGAAUUGAGCAGAAAACUACUUUAUUAAGCUAAAGUUGUUCUGAUGACACUAGUGUACUCUUUAUAAAAAAAAUUAAAAAGCCUAUUUGGAGAAUUACCAUAUAUACACACGAGUAUUUUUUGUGCUGAAAAAUCCCCCCCUCUGCUUAUACUCGAGUCUUGUCUGUAUUAUGGCAACUUACAUUGCCAUAAUACAGACCAGGACUGCUGGGCUCAUUACAAGCCCAGCGGUCCUGUUGGGGGCCGGCAGCAAGCUGUUACUUACCUUUUGUAGCAGCUCCGGUCAGCUCCCUUCUCCUCCUUUCCCUUCCGCUCACAGUCUAAGUAUCGCCAGACCCGCGGCCAUAAGAGGGUUGCCACGGUUUACCGUGGCAAUGCUCCACGCAGCACGCAGACCACGAGACUUACACUGUGAGCGGAAGGGAACGGAGGUGAAGGGAGCUGACCGGAGCUGCUACAAAGGCAAGUAACAGCUUGCUCUGGCCCUCUCCCCCCCCCCCCUGCACAGUACACACCACUGGCCAGGCAACAUGCAGGGAGGGGGGACAAAAAAAAUAAACAAUUACAUUUUAUAAUAUUAAAAUAAAAAUAAUAUUACACUAAAAAAAUGCUGGGACUAAUGUUAUAAUCUGAAAUUCAGAGCAUUACAUUUUAGUUUUAUUAUUGACUCGUUAUGUUCUUACCUCCGUUCUCCCAUAAUGCACGACCUCCAUGAGUACCUACCAGUUAAGUCUCACUUCUAAGCAAACCCACAAUGGCUGUGCCCACCUAUAAUACGACCCUCCCCCCCCCCGCCCCUCCACCUCCCUUUCCCCAGGGUAAUGGGGCCUUGAAGCAAGCCGGUCAGCUACUGCAAUAGAUUAAUAUUCCUACAGCUCGCCCACCGGUACAAGCCGAAAUGGAACACCAGAUCUGACUAGUUUAAUGCACCCUACCACUCCUAUGACUACCUUAGCAAGUGCCAGCCUGGAGUUGUUCCUAUAUCUCCUGUACCCUUAUCUAUAAAUAAGGUGUAUUAUAUCCAUAGUAUCAUAGAUUCAUAGUGUCUUGUAUCACAUAUCCAUGUCUUUGCCACACAUGUGCAUUACUUGAAUUAUGCAAUGGACCUCAAUAAAAAAUAGAAUACAAAAAAUAAUAUUAAAAUAUAAAAUAAUAAAAAUGCCCUCCCCCACCCAGUUUACACACAUUACACAAAACACACACACACACUGCAUUAUAUACACACUCCAUUCAUACAAACACACACUGCAUUUAUUAUAUACAUGCACUGCAUUCAUUAUAUACACACUCUGCAUUAUAUACACACACACUCAUACAAACACACACUCUGCAUUCAUACAAAGACACUGCAUUCAUUAUAUACACGCACUGCAUGCAUACAUACACACUCUGCAUUAUAUACACACACAGCAUUAUAUACACACACACUCAUACAAACACACUGCAUCCAUUAUAGUCACACACAGUGCAUUCACACAAACACACAUUUUGCAUUCAUUAUACACACACACUACACAAACACACACGCAUUCUGCAUUCAUUAUAUACACACACACACACACUCUGCAUUCAUUAUAUACACACACUGCACACACACACUACACAAACACACACACAUUCUGCAUUCAUUUUAUAUACACACACACACACACACAUUCUGCAUUCAUUAUGUACACACACUACACAAACACAAACACACACACUCAUUCUGCAUUCAUUAUAUACACACACUGUAAAUAAAUAUUCAAUAAAUGUAAUUUUAUUGGGAUCUAAUUUUAUUUAGAAAUUUACUGGUAGCUACUGCAUUUCCCACCCUAGGCUUAUACUCGAGUCAAUAAGUUUUCCCAAUUUUUUUGUGGUAAAAUUAGGUGCCUCGGCUUAUAUUCGGGUCGACUUAUACUCAAAGAUAUACGGUAAGUAAAUUAUGACAUUUUGAAUUUAAAGUCAAAAUAACUUGAUUGCAAAAUAAAAUUCUCAUAAAAGGUUAUUUACAAAAGAGAAAAUUGUGGGGAAUUAAGUGAAUUUCAAAUAGAAUUCCAAAGUAGUCGUAAUGGAAGCAUAGUUGACAUCGAUAUUUUUUCCAGUUUAGCUGCUUUGGUCUUAAAUUACAAUUUACUUUGAAUUCCUGACCAUUUAUAAAAAAAAUUGUAUUUUCUAUUUUAUCUCCACACAGCUCAGCAUGAAGUCCCUCUCCCGGUGUCCGGCCUUUUAUAUCAGUCUGUCCGUCUGUUUAGAGAUUUCAAUUUGACAGUUCUUGUAGAAGAUGUCUCGU